CUUCAGGUCAGCUUCCCCGCGUUCUUUGUUCCUGUUAACCUCGCACGAAAAAGUAGAAAAGGGGUUGGGGUGGAUAAGAAGUAUAAGCACAACCGUAAAAGUGACCAUCUUGACCAACACACACAUCACACACAUUCCACACAUCGGAUUGAAUUGGUGCAGAUAACUCACUCUCAGAAAUAUUUUGUUAAUUUUUUCAUGGGUGGUUUCCUCCACAAUGUAGGAGGAUCAAAAGUAGAACAAUUAACAUCCAAGAUCCCAUAAUUCUAAGAUGCCAUGUUUAUCAUAUCACAAAUAAAAUAAGACUAAUGAUCAAACUUGAACCCUAGCAAUAUUUACACCUAUAGCUACACUGUUAGUUCGCCGGCAAUUGCGUCAAAAUUUAAUCACGCCCAACUCUAGUACUAAAAAGGAUAAGCAGGCGUUGCAAAUAUAAUCCGAUCUAAAAGUCCGGAGUCGAAUCCCACAGAGAACUAAGGUUUUGCUGUAACUGUUAAGUAUCACUAAGAAGACAAGCUCGAAUAAUUCCUAAGUUAUAAAUAUUAAAAAUCUUAUGUCUAACUAAUUAACUAAUAAAUAAAAGGAGUGAAUUAACAACUAAAGAUAUUAAGGGUUGGAGAAAAUACUAAGGAGGUCUAGAGUUAUGAUUUCCCCAAUUGUCGGAAUUAUUCCCACUACGUCUCCUACAAUUUUGCCUAAAUAUUCUCUACCGAUCGUGUAAUGACCCAACUUGUCGUUUUGUGAAUUAGCAUCUCGUUCAGUGACUUAAGGUCCCGAUUAUCUUCGUAAUGUGUAUUAUGACUUGCGUGUGCGGUCGAGUUUGGUUUUGGAAGGUUCGGAAUUAAAUUGGAAGAACAAUCCUUAUUUUGGAAGCUUAAAUGAAAAGAGUUAACUGGAGUUUGACUUUUGAGUAAAUGACUCUGGAAUAAGAUUUUGAUGAUGUCAAUAGCUUCGUAUGGUGAUUUCGGACUUAGGCGUAUGUCCGGAUUUGGAUUUGAAAGUCCGCAGGACAAUUUGACCCAUUUUGGCGAAAGUUGGAAAAUGGAGGAUUUUUAGAAAGUUUGACCGGGAGUUGACUUUUGAUAUCGGGGUUGGAAUCCGAUUAUGUAAAUUUGAAUAGUUUCACUAUGUCAUUUAUGACUGGUGUGCAAAAUUUGAAGUUAAUCGGACUUGAUUUGAUCGGUUUCGGCAUCGAAUGUAGAAGUUGGAAUUCGAUAGUUUCAUUUAAGCUUCAAUUGGGGUGUGAUUCGUGUUUUAGUAUUGUUUGAUGUGAUUUGAGGCAUCGACUAAGUUUGUAUGAUGUUUUAGAACUUGUUGGUAUAUUUGGUUGAAGUCCCGAGGGCCUCGGGUGGAUUUCAGAUGGUUAACAGAAUUUAAUUUGGAUAUUUCUAGAAUGUUUAGACGUCGUUUCUUCGAGAAUAAGUGGUAUAGCAUUAAAAAUAAAUGAGCUCCAAAUUCAAUUUUGAUUGAAGUAUUAGAUCCGUAUUGAAAUUUCGGAGACAUAAUAAAAAGAAUCGUCGAAUUCGAACAUCGUAUGAGAGAGUUAUUCUCAUUUCCGUGUCGGGAAAUAUUUUCCGUCAGCAUCCAGGGUAGCGUGGGAUGCUAUCCCUAGACUUCUGGAGUUCUGGAAACGGCGCCACAGGCAGCGCCCCACGCCACAUGUAGCGCUACAAACAUCAGAGGCUCUAUAAAUGGGGGUUUUCUGUCAUUUUUGACAAAAAUAGAGUUGGGGAGCUCGGUUUGGGCUAUUUUCAAAUGCAAAUUUCAUCAAACAACUUGGGGUAAGUGUUCUUGACUCCCUUGUGAUUAUAUUUCAUGAAUCUAUGGUUAUAUUCAUCGUUUAAUUCGAAUUUUGAUGGAAGAAAUUGAGAUUUUAAAAAAACCUUUCAAAAAACAAAUAUUUUAGAUUUGGAGGUCGAUUCGUUUUCGGAAUUUGAUAAAAUUGGUAUGGUUGAACUCGUAUCGGAAUGGGUGUUCUGAUUUCGUGUGAAUUCUAUCGGGUUCCGAGAGGCGGUCCCCGCGUUGACUUUUGAUUGACUUUUAAUGUGAAAUUUUAAGUCGACGUUAUAUUACCCGAAAUUAUUUCCAAUGAAUUUUAAUGAAGUUAUACAAUUAAUUUGGAUAGAUUUGAGUUGUCCGGAGGUCAAUUCAAGCAAGAAAGUUAUUUUGAAAAAUCGGCCUAAUUUCAAAAAGGUAAGUAUCUUACCUAACCUUGAGUGGGGAAUUACCCCUUAGGCAAUGAGUCUUAUGUGAAAAUUGUGUAAUUGAAAAUCAUGUACGCGAGGUGACGAGUACGUACUUGGUUUAUAUGUGCAAAUUAUAUCGGUUGAAACUCGUAGACUCCCAUAUAUAUUAAAUUGAAAAAUUGUUGGAACUUAGUAAAUCCUUGAUUUGUCAUGCCUCAUUCCUUGUUUGUCGAGUUUGUAUUUUAUAUGAUAAUUUGGUGUGAUUGCCACUUGGAUUUUUAUGAGAAUUCUGUGUGUUUGCUGAUUUGAUAUUUCUUGGAAAUAAUCACAUUAUGAAUUUUUUAUCUGCAAAUAAUUAAUUAAAUAAGUUAAAAUUGAGGCGUUUAUAUAUUUAUCUAAAAUUUGGAUUAAAGAAGGCGUUGUCCUAUGAUGAGUUAUUUUCCCAUCCUUGUGGUUGUUUUUGAGAUUUUAUAUAUAUUAUGUUGAGCCGUGGACUAUUUGUUGUGAAAUUAAUUGACUUUGUUGUACCUUUGGAAUGGUUGUGGCUUACAGACAAUUUGUAAAUACGAGUUGAUGAUGUUGUGCUGUUGUGAUAAUAUUCUGUGUGAAUUGUUGUGUGAUUUGGGUUACUGUUAUGCGGCGUAUAAGGGUGGCAUUUCACUAUUGUUAUGUGUGUUGGGAUAUUGUCUAAGCGGAGUGAUAAGGGAGACUAUUAAACGGAGCGAUAAGGGAGGCUAUUGAUAUUGUCAGGGCGGAGAGAUAAGGGAGUCUAUUAUAAGAGUGAUAAGGGUGGCUAUAAAAGAGAUAAGGGUGACUAUUGUCAUGGAUGAUAUGUGAUAGAUGUGAGAUUAUUGUGUUGGUAAUUUUUAUGUGGUGAUGUGGGGUUAUUGCGUUGGUAAUUUUCAUUUGAUGUUGUAAUUUUCCUUGUGUUUAUUUUUAUAUCUUGUGCAACUUGUCUUAUUGUUUCGGUAAACUUGAUAAUAGUCUGAUCUAUGUUGAAAUUGUGAGCAUGUGGCCAGUGCCGAGUGGAUUAUGUUAUAUAGGAUCAGGUUGCACGCCGCAAUAGGUAUGAUUAAUGUUAUAUGGGAUCGGGUUUCACGCCGCAACAGGUAUGAUUAAUGUUGUAUGAGAUCGAGUUGCACGGCGCAACAAAUAUGAAAUGUGGGCACGAGGUGCCGCGGUUAAACAUGAUGAUUUUUAUUAUUGGCACGUGAGUUGUCCGUGCGGUUUUGAUAGAAAUAUGGGCACGAUGUGCCGUGGAAACAUAAAAGUGGGUUGAGACCCGUGUUACGAAAAUAUAAAAGUGGUCUGAGACCCGUGACGAAAUUAUGAAAGUUGGCUGAGACCCGUGUUACGAAAAUAUGAAAGUGAGCUGAGACCCGUGUUACGAAAAUAUGAAAGUGGCCUCAGACCCGUGUUUUAUGAUUAUGAAAUGAAGUGUCACAGAGUGACUUUUAUUUAAAAGAAUUAUAAGUGAAAGAUUUAUAUUUGAAGGAAUUGAUUAAUUGGUUGUACUUGUGUUCCUUAUUCGUUUGAGCAAUAAUUAUAGUGUUCUUGUUGCCUUGUUGUUUAUGUCACUGAUUGAUUUUUUUUGCUAUCACUACUAGUUGGUUUUCAGUACUAUUGUAUACUGCUAUGUUGCACAGGUUAUUUGACUAUUGAGUAUCUUGAUUGUACCGUGUCACUACUACCCCGAGUUUAGUCUUGAUACUUAUUGGGUAAUGUCACACCUCAUUUUUACCUUAACAACCCUUUAAAAGAUAAUAAAGUGAUUAUAAAGCUCGAAAGGGUUUUCAAUUUGAAAGUGACAAAAUUCGUGUUUCAAAGAUUUUCAGAGUCUGACAUUUGGUUUCGGUGUGCCAAGUCACCGUUUAAAAUUGAUUUUUCCUUUUGAAAACACAUGUAGACUCUAAAACAUAGUCUGCACCAGAGAUUUAGAGUAAGGGGGUUCAUUUGACUCGGGGAGAAGGUGUUAGGCAUUCCCCGAAUCCCGUGAAAGUCACGGUUGCAUACUUGAUCCAGUUGGCUUUAAAGAAUACUCAAAUUGAGGUAAAAACACACGAAAAAAAAUAAACACACAAAAGGCUCGAGGUCGUCCCCACCUAAAUAAAAGAAAAUAAAAUAAGAGGAAAAUACUAAAAGUCUAUACUAUGCUCACUCCACAAUGUCCAUCACAGUUUCCAAUUACAUUCACUACGGGGCAUACCCCGGAUAAAAAUAUAUACAAAAUCUACGGAGUAUUUUACCAAGUAUAAACUAAAGGGAACGAUAUCUCACCUCAAAUAAAAAUAAAAUAAAAGACUUAAGGUUUGCCUACCCAAGUGUGGCCGGUCUAAACAUGCUCCUAGCGAUUCAUUCAUUAAAAGAGAUAAAACGAUGUAAAAUCCAUUCAAUAUUCAAACAUUCUUUAACUUUACCAACACAAAAGAAACAGUUUUCUUUCUCUAAUUAAAACCCAAAUCAUAUUUGUCUGAUCAACCCCACAGCCAUUUGCCUUAAUCUGCGCCCAAGUUCUAAUUUAGAUAAUUUUUCUUUAGCUAGAUUUUGUUCAGCAACAUAUAGUUCAUGUAAAUCUAAACCAACUAAUAUGAGCAAAAUCAACCAAACAACAAAUGAUUAACAUGAAUCUCAGAAUCAUAUCGCCACAAAUAACACUUCAAGUUUAGAAGAAAAUAGAAAGAAAGAGUUAAAAAAUUGGACCUCAGUUGCUUUUCGUUCCUGAAACUCAAUUAAACAUAGGAUUUGAGCUCAAACCAAACAUUUGAAAUGAAAAUAUCGAACCUCUGACUAAGGGCUAGAACAGAUGACCGCAAAUCUCAAUCAGUGCCUCAAACCGAUUCUCGACUUCUUCAAGCUCAAUCCAUGAUCUGAAAACUCUUAUGGAGUAGCGAUGGAGGAGGAUUAAUGGUGAUGGAGAAAUUGAUAUUUAUUGGGUUCAGGCGUAGUUGAAUAGAAGUGAUUUACGGGCUUUUUGCGAGGUUUCAAUAAUCAUGGGGCUUUUGUCGAGAAGAAAGGGGGUGAGGGAGCGGCGCUAGGGAUUUUAUUUUCGCCUCUGUUCUCUAUCUCCUUCUCUCACUCUCUAUUGCUAUCCUAUAUAUAAUAGUGAAAAUUCAAUCCUUAAUUGCUUGGAGAAAACGAAAAGAAAAUUUCCUCGCCAAUACAGUGUGGUCCCUAUCAGUAAAAAUGCCAUGUCUUUG
rnacentral:lncRNA from 1 species